UACGUAGGGUCCGAGCGUUGUCCGGAAUUAUUGGGCGUAAAGGGCUCGUAGGCGGUUUGUCGCGUCGGGAGUGAAAACUCAGGGCUCAACCCUGAGCGUGCUUCCGAUACGGGCAAACUAGAGGUAUUCAGGGGAGAAUGGAAUUCCUGGUGUAGCGGUGGAAUGCGCAGAUAUCAGGAGGAACACCGGUGGCGAAGGCGGUUCUCUGGGAAUAUCCUGACGCUGAGGAGCGAAAGCAUGGGGAGCGAACAGG
rnacentral:rRNA from 1 species